GAUUCCUUAGAAGAGAGGAGCUUGCGAAAGGAGCUCUUCUCUAUGCUAGGCUGCUUCCCAGACUGCUGUAAUGGAUGCAAGUGACGCAAUAGGCGUUCCUCACGUCCAUGCUGGCAGUCUGAGCAGAGGCUUUCCACUGGGAGGAGCUAUUUUGCUGAACUCCGGUUUUUGUUUUGUUUUCUUUUGUUUUUUGGAUGAUUGCCGUGGGCCGCAGUGGGCGUCCCAAGGGGUGGAGUGUGCAUGGAUUCAGCACUGCAACACCUUCAGAGGGGAUGCACGCUCCGGGGAGAGAUGCAGACCAACCACUCUGCAGAAAAAUGCUAAGGAAUCCUCCCCAUUGUCUCCUUCCUUGGGACCUUGAAACCAGGAGAGAAUUUCACGGAUCUCUUAGCAAAUCCACCGGUUAGGACACGUGAGAGCUGCAAGGAGAGGGAAGUCUCACAGCCUCAUUCUCCCUUCAGCACUGUGGAGAACAAGGAAGGAUCAACUGCUGACCGUGCAACGUGCCAAUUAGCUCAGGAUAUCAGGGUUUUCAGUGUUCCCUAAGGAGGCAGUGGGGCAGGGAAUACCAACCUUGAAGAUGUCAACCUGUGGCUUGAUAUAUUGUUCUAUAGCUAAGAUUUUUGUAAAGCAC